GGGUUGUGAGGUUAAGCGACUAAGCGUACACGGUGGAUGCCCUGGCAGUCAGAGGCGAUGAAGGACGUGCUAAUCUGCGAUAAGCGUCGGUAAGGUGAUAUGAACCGUUAUAACCGGCGAUUUCCGAAUGGGGAAACCCAGUGUGUUUCGACACACUAUCAUUAACUGAAUCCAUAGGUUAAUGAGGCGAACCGGGGGAACUGAAACAUCUAAGUACCCCGAGGAAAAGAAAUCAACCGAGAUUCCCCCAGUAGCGGCGAGCGAACGGGGAGGAGCCCAGAGCCUGAAUCAGUGUGUGUGUUAGUGGAAGCGUCUGGAAAGGCGCGCGAUACAGGGUGACAGCCCCGUACACAAAAAUGCACAUGCUGUGAGCUCGAUGAGUAGGGCGGGACACGUGGUAUCCUGUCUGAAUAUGGGGGGACCAUCCUCCAAGGCUAAAUACUCCUGACUGACCGAUAGUGAACCAGUACCGUGAGGGAAAGGCGAAAAGAACCCCGGCGAGGGGAGUGAAAAAGAACCUGAAACCGUGUACGUACAAGCAGUGGGAGCCUCUUAAUGGGGUGACUGCGUACCUUUUGUAUAAUGGGUCAGCGACUUAUAUUCUGUAGCAAGGUUAACCGAAUAGGGGAGCCGAAGGGAAACCGAGUCUUAACUGGGCGUUAAGUUGCAGGGUAUAGACCCGAAACCCGGUGAUCUAGCCAUGGGCAGGUUGAAGGUUGGGUAACACUAACUGGAGGACCGAACCGACUAAUGUUGAAAAAUUAGCGGAUGACUUGUGGCUGGGGGUGAAAGGCCAAUCAAACCGGGAGAUAGCUGGUUCUCCCCGAAAGCUAUUUAGGUAGCGCCUCGUGAAUUCAUCUCCGGGGGUAGAGCACUGUUUCGGCAAGGGGGUCAUCCCGACUUACCAACCCGAUGCAAACUGCGAAUACCGGAGAAUGUUAUCACGGGAGACACACGGCGGGUGCUAACGUCCGUCGUGAAGAGGGAAACAACCCAGACCGCCAGCUAAGGUCCCAAAGUCAUGGUUAAGUGGGAAACGAUGUGGGAAGGCCCAGACAGCCAGGAUGUUGGCUUAGAAGCAGCCAUCAUUUAAAGAAAGCGUAAUAGCUCACUGGUCGAGUCGGCCUGCGCGGAAGAUGUAACGGGGCUAAACCAUGCACCGAAGCUGCGGCAGCGACACUAUGUGUUGUUGGGUAGGGGAGCGUUCUGUAAGCCUGUGAAGGUGUACUGUGAGGUAUGCUGGAGGUAUCAGAAGUGCGAAUGCUGACAUAAGUAACGAUAAAGCGGGUGAAAAGCCCGCUCGCCGGAAGACCAAGGGUUCCUGUCCAACGUUAAUCGGGGCAGGGUGAGUCGACCCCUAAGGCGAGGCCGAAAGGCGUAGUCGAUGGGAAACAGGUUAAUAUUCCUGUACUUGGUGUUACUGCGAAGGGGGGACGGAGAAGGCUAUGUUGGCCGGGCGACGGUUGUCCCGGUUUAAGCGUGUAGGCUGGUUUUCCAGGCAAAUCCGGAAAAUCAAGGCUGAGGCGUGAUGACGAGGCACUACGGUGCUGAAGCAACAAAUGCCCUGCUUCCAGGAAAAGCCUCUAAGCAUCAGGUAACAUCAAAUCGUACCCCAAACCGACACAGGUGGUCAGGUAGAGAAUACCAAGGCGCUUGAGAGAACUCGGGUGAAGGAACUAGGCAAAAUGGUGCCGUAACUUCGGGAGAAGGCACGCUGAUAUGUAGGUGAAGUCCCUCGCGGAUGGAGCUGAAAUCAGUCGAAGAUACCAGCUGGCUGCAACUGUUUAUUAAAAACACAGCACUGUGCAAACACGAAAGUGGACGUAUACGGUGUGACGCCUGCCCGGUGCCGGAAGGUUAAUUGAUGGGGUUAGCGGUAACGCGAAGCUCUUGAUCGAAGCCCCGGUAAACGGCGGCCGUAACUAUAACGGUCCUAAGGUAGCGAAAUUCCUUGUCGGGUAAGUUCCGACCUGCACGAAUGGCGUAAUGAUGGCCAGGCUGUCUCCACCCGAGACUCAGUGAAAUUGAACUCGCUGUGAAGAUGCAGUGUACCCGCGGCAAGACGGAAAGACCCCGUGAACCUUUACUAUAGCUUGACACUGAACAUUGAGCCUUGAUGUGUAGGAUAGGUGGGAGGCUUUGAAGUGUGGACGCCAGUCUGCAUGGAGCCGGCCUUGAAAUACCACCCUUUAAUGUUUGAUGUUCUAACGUUGGCCCCUGAUCGGGGUUGCGGACAGUGUCUGGUGGGUAGUUUGACUGGGGCGGUCUCCUCCUAAAGAGUAACGGAGGAGCACGAAGGUUGGCUAAUCCUGGUCGGACAUCAGGAGGUUAGUGCAAUGGCAUAAGCCAGCUUGACUGCGAGCGUGACGGCGCGAGCAGGUGCGAAAGCAGGUCAUAGUGAUCCGGUGGUUCUGAAUGGAAGGGCCAUCGCUCAACGGAUAAAAGGUACUCCGGGGAUAACAGGCUGAUACCGCCCAAGAGUUCAUAUCGACGGCGGUGUUUGGCACCUCGAUGUCGGCUCAUCACAUCCUGGGGCUGAAGUAGGUCCCAAGGGUAUGGCUGUUCGCCAUUUAAAGUGGUACGCGAGCUGGGUUUAGAACGUCGUGAGACAGUUCGGUCCCUAUCUGCCGUGGGCGCUGGAGAACUGAGGGGGGCUGCUCCUAGUACGAGAGGACCGGAGUGGACGCAUCACUGGUGUUCGGGUUGUCAUGCCAAUGGCACUGCCCGGUAGCUAAAUGCGGAAGAGAUAAGUGCUGAAAGCAUCUAAGCACGAAACUUGCCCCGAGAUGAGUUCUCCCUGACUCCUUGAGAGUCCUGAAGGAACGUUGAAGACGACGACGUUGAUAGGCCGGGUGUGUAAGCGCAGCGAUGCGUUGAGCUAACCGGUACUAAUGAACCGUGAGGCUUAACCUUACAACGCCGAAGGUGUUU
rnacentral:rRNA from 1 species